CGAACGCUGGCGGCGUGCUUAACACAUGCACGUCGACCGGAAAGGCCCUGCUUGCAGGGUACUCGAGUGGCGAACGGGUGAGUAACACGUGGGUGAUCUGCCCUGCACUUCGGGAUAAGCUUGGGAAACUGGGUCUAAUACCGGAUAGGAACCAUCUUUAGUGUGGUGGUUGGAAAGUUUUUUCGGUGUAGGAUGAGCUCGCGGCCUAUCAGCUUGUUGGUGGGGUAAUGGCCUACCAAGGCGGCGACGGGUAGCCGGCCUGAGAGGGUGUACGGCCACAUUGGGACUGAGAUACGGCCCAGACUCCUACGGGAGGCAGCAGUGGGGAAUAUUGCACAAUGGGCGCAAGCCUGAUGCAGCGACGCCGCGUGGGGGAUGAAGGCCUUCGGGUUGUAAACUCCUUUCGCUAGGGACGAAGCUUUGUUGUGACGGUACCUAGAUAAGAAGCACCGGCUAACUACGUG
rnacentral:rRNA from 1 species